rnacentral:rRNA from 1 species
UACGUAGGGGGCAAGCGUUGUCCGGAAUUAUUGGGCGUAAAGCGCGCGCAGGCGGUCGAUUAAGUCUGGUGUAUAAACCAAGGGCUCAACCUUUGGACGCAAUGGAAACUGGUCGACUGGAGUGUAGGAGAGGAAAGUGGAAUUCCACGUGUAGCGGUGAAAUGCGUAGAGAUGUGGAGGAACACCAGUGGCGAAGGCGACUUUCUGGCCUAUAACUGACGCUGAGGCGCGAAAGCGUGGGGAGCAAACAGG